rnacentral:rRNA from 1 species
UACGGAGGGGGCAAGCGUUAUCCGGAUUCACUGGGUUUAAAGGGAGCGUAGGUGGGCUUGUAAGUCAGUGGUGAAAUCUCCGUGCUUAACACGGAAACUGCCAUUGAUACUAUAGGUCUUGAAUUUUCUGGAGGUUAGCGGAAUAUGUCAUGUAGCGGUGAAAUGCUUAGAUAUGACAUAGAACACCAGUGGCGAAGGCGGCUUACUGGUCCGGAU